AUGCUUAAAAUUCUACAAGGCAGGCUUAAGCAGCAUGUGGACCGAGAACUCCCAGAAGUGCAAGCUGGAUUUCGAAGGGGCAGAGGAACCAGAGACCAAAUUGCAAACAUGCGCUAGAUUAUGGAGAAAGCUAGAGAGUUCCAGAAAGACAUCUACUUCUGCUUCAUUGACUAUGCAAAAGCCUUUGACUGUGUUGACCACAGCAAACUAUGGCAAGUUCUUAAAGGAAUGGGAGUGCCUGAUCACCUCAUCUGUCUCCUGAGAAAUCUCUAUGUGGGACAAGAAGCUACAGUUAGAACUGGAUAUGGAACAACUGAUUGGUUCAAAAUUGGGAAAGGAGUACGGCAAGGCUGUAUAUUGUCUCCCUGCUUAUUUAACUUAUAUGCAGAAUUCAUCAUGCGAAAGGCUGGGCUGGAUGAAUCCCAAGCCAGAAUUAAGAUCGUCGGAAGAAAUAUCAACAACCUCAGAUAUGCAGAUGAUACAACCUUGAUGGCAGAAAGUGAGGAGGAAUUAAAGAACCUUUUAAUGAGGGUGAAAGAGGAGAGCACAAAAUAUGGUCUGAAGCUCAACAUCAAAAAAACGAAGAUCAUGGCCACUGGUCCCAUCACCUCCUGGCAAAUAGAAGGGGAAGAAAUGGGGGCAGUGAGAAAUUUUACUUUCUUGGGCUCCAUGAUCACUGCAGAUGGUGACAGCAGUCACGAAAUUAAAAGACGUCUGCUCCUUGGGAGAAAGGCGAUGGCAAACCUAGACAACAUCUUAAAAAGCAGAGACAUCACCUUGCCAAAAAAGGUCCGUAUAGUAAAAGCCAUGGUUUUCCCAGUACAGUGGUGCCUCGCAAGACAAAAUUAAUCCGUUCCACGAGUCUCUUCAUCUUGCGGUUUUUUCGUCUUGCGAAGCAUGGCUAUUAGCGGCUUAGCAGCUUAGCGGCUAUUAGCGGCUUAGCGGCUAUUAACGGCUUAGCGGCUUAGCGGCUAUUAACGGCUUAGUGGCUUAGCGGCUUUAAGAAAAAGGAAACAAACUCGCAAGAACUCGCAAGACGUUUCGUCUUGCGAAGCAAGCCCAUAGGGAAAUUCGUCUUGCGGAACGACUCAAAAAACGGAAAACUCUUUCGUCUAGCGAGUUUUUCAUCUUGCGAGGCAUUCGUCUUGUGGGGCACCACUGUAGUGACAUAUGGAAGUGAGAGCUGGACCAUAAAGAAGGCUGAUCGCCAAAGAAUUGAUGCUUUUGAAUUAUGGUGCUGGAGGAGACUCUUGAGAGUCCCAUGGACUGCAAGAAGAUCAAACAUAUCCAUUCUUAAGGAAAUCAGCCCUGAGUGCUCACUGGAAGGACAGAUCGUGAAGCUGAGGCUCCAAUACUUUGGCCACCUCAUGAGAAGAGAAGACUCCUGGAAAAGACCCUGAUGUUGGGAAAGAUUGAGGGCACAAGGAGAAGGGGACGACAGAGGACGAGAUGGUUGGACAGUGUUCUCGAAGCUACCAGCAUGAGUCUGACCAAACUGCGGGAGGCAGUGGAAGACAGGAGUGCCUGGCGUGCUCUGGUCCAUGGGGUCACGAAGAGUUGGACACGACUAAACAACUAAACAACAACAAUUGUUUCAUGCAAAUUGCACACAAAAGCUGAUCACUCCCCUUCUGGAAAUGCCAGGUAUCUUUGCUAAAGGUCAGCAGCCUCAAUAAGCCUCUCUCCCUAAUGAAGGGAAAAGCCUAACUAGCAAAUUUGUAAUAGCUCCAUUGCUACCCUUUGCUAAUAUUGCUGCUUGGUGCCAGUAAGUUCCUAUAGGAAAUUAGUUUGGGGUCCUAUGCAUUUCAGAUGUAAACACCAAAUGGACACAGGAAAAACUUAAGAUUGCUUGAAUCCAGCUAGGUCAGUCUUCCCUAGCCCUGUGCCCUCCAGAUGUUUUAUACCACUGGCUGGGGCAAUGGAAAUGGGAUGUUUUAAUGGGGAAGAGAGAGACUGGCAGAGCUGGCUCUGAUCACUGUGCCGCCGCCACCUUCUGCCCUGGCCACUUUGCAUGCUAUGGAUGAGGCAGCAGACUCACCUGUCCAGCCCUGCCAAGGAGCCACCAAGGUUAGGACUGCAGCCUAAAGCAUUAAUAAAACAGCUUCACUCUAUCUCUGCCACCAACAGUGCAACCCUAUGCUUGCCUGCUCAGAAAUGUUCCCAUUGAGUUCACUCCCAAGUAAAUCCAUGUGAGAUUGCAGUCUAAGUGGCGGAGCAUAUAUCAGGAAGCUGGGCAGUGCAGGCAAGCAAAAUGAGUGCCUCUUGGUUAGAAAACCCCAGCCCUUUUCCAGGGACGAUGUCUUUGAUCCAACGUGAUGGUGAAAACUCACAUGGACUGCAAGUCUGUCAGAAGAAUUUGUCUGAAGUUGCCUACUUAACAGUGACCCAAUUAAAAAGUAGAUGAAACACACUGAGGUAAGUGGGAAAGAAAGAAGCUCAUUUGAAUCGGAUUAGUACAAUUAGCCAAUGUCCCCGGGAUUGUUUGCAGAGCUGUCUGUCAGGAUGGCCUUAAGGAGGGAUGUUAAAAUAUACAGAGGGCAUCUUAAUAUGGAAAUCAUGUGCCCUUACAACCAAGACAGAUUUUGAACACCUCAUAUUUCACAACCAGGUUUGUAUUAUGUGGCUGAGGCAAUUGAAGACUGCAAUUUUUCUUUCUGCAGCACUAAUAACUAGGAAGGAAGAGGAGGAGGUUCGGCUGGUGGAGCCUGCGCCAAUUAACAGGACCCUCGUGGUCGUCUUUGACAUCCCGACAUCGAAGGAGAGAUGAAAAAAAGUUACGAGGUUGUUAAGAUUCAGGUUUGUUUCAUAUUUCUACUUGUCAGGCAAGUAGGCCAGAAAUUUCACUCCUGUUUUCUUCCCCUCUGACGACGACAGCGGCUUUGAAAAGCAUCCGCCUCGCCUUUGAGAGUGCUGAUAUCUGCAAGCCCUCUGGUGGGAUUGUAGCAGCUAAUUGCCUGGGACUGACUGCACUGAAAGGAAAGGCAGGCGAAGAUUGCGGUGCUGUUACUUACAAGGAAAUAACAGGCAAAAAAAAUUAAAAGGGUGGCGGGGAGAUGGAAAGGAUGGCCUGGGAAAAGAAAAGAAAAGAAAAAGAGAUCAGCUUUGGAAACUCAAAAAACAGCAAUGCGCCUUCCCCUACUUCCCCAUUUUCUCCAGCUACAGUUCAAUCAAUAUAUACAGGGACUCAACAGCAUCCAUUUUGAAGAGGCAGUCUUCAAAAGGGCUUAAGACAUCCUGGGGUUUUCUGGGCUGCAGAAGUGCCAACAUUGUCCGAUCCAGCAUCCCACCCAGGUGUCAAGGAACUAUUGUGAAAUGUGGAAUUACAACACUGUGUAUCAGGGCUGUCCCCGCAGGAAGGCUAAAUUAAUAGUUCCUGUCAUAUUUAGGCAUAAAUAAGGGAAAACAAAUGGUGAAAUGCCCCCUGCUUCCACCACAAGCCCAGCAGGGAUUUGGGUUUUGUGGUGCCUCAACUUUGGGUUUUCCUUCCUCCUCCCACUUUGGAUUGCUUUGGCAGUGAAACAUUUAAUGAAGUUACCUAUAAGAAGAAGGGAUUUCAAACUUUGCUCAAGAAUGAUUCCAUCUAGCUUGACCAAAGCUAUAGUGGACCAUACUUCAUGAAGAUUGUCAUGGACAGAGUUGAGUUUACACUUCAGAGUAAGGAUGGAAGUAUCUGUCAAUAGCAGGUCUCUCAGUUUCUCAUUUUUCCAAACUUAAAUUCAGUUCUCCACACCUGUGCAGCAAUUAAUUUGCAUUUUUUUAAAAAAGACAAUCUCAUGAAAAUUUGAUAGCAUUUCAGUGUGAAUUUCCCCUAAUAAAAACUUUUUUUUUCCUGUAUGCUGUUUUAACUACACACUGCUUUACCCUGGCUUUUGACACCUGAGGUGCACAUAUUUACGACCCACCCUAUGUUUGCAAUCGAAAGUCACUUUAUGUUGUUUUUAACUUUGUACAUUAUUUGCUGCAACCCACCCUGGCACGUAAGGGUGAAGGGCAGGUAAUUAAUUAAAAUAAUAAAUAAAUGCAUGCAUUUUUGCCAAAAGUUGCCCUAAUAUGCAUUUUUACACGUUAUUUUCACUAUUAUAUUCAUUUGUGCACACUUUUCUUUAAUAUAUGUGCAUUUUUGUAAACAUUGGUUCGUUAGAGAACUGCAUCAAAACAUUCAGAUAAGUGUGAAUUUUGAAGAAUGGCUUGUUUUCAUUCUCGUGUUGUUUCAGAAAUUUGAUAGAGUUGCCUUUAAAUGCAAACUGAAUUGAAUUUCUUCCCCCAUCCCUACUCCAGAGGGUGGUCUAAGAGUUAAUUGCCACCUGUUGCCCUUUUGUAGUCACUUCAUUCCCUAGAAAUUGCCCACAGCUGCUUCCAUAACAUGAAAAUCACCUACAGCUCCAACAUUUAUUAGCUCCAUCACAUCAAGCAGCACAUAUCAGACUGUAAACAAUCACUCACAAUCCUUAGCUGACUCACAUCUUGUUUUUCUCCAUGCAUGUGUGGGUGGAAUAAUGUCUUUAACCACUUCUCAAUCAUAGGUGGACAGCCUCUGAAAUCUCCCAUUGUUUUAAAGAGCAAGCUUCCAGUCUCGGCAAACUUUGAUCUAACUUCCAUCGAUCCUAUUCUCCAUUUUGCUGAAGUUUAUGGCAUGAUUCCACCCUAAAAUGCCUGUGUGGCAAAAGAGGGAAUAGCUACUCCGCUUGCUUCUUUCCCUUUUUGCAUCACUCCAGGAAGCAACACCAGUGAUGCUAAAAUAAUAUGGUGAAGGAGGAGAAGGUUGAAGCCACAAUCUGCCGCCCCCCCACCCCUCCAAAAAAUCUUUGCAGAUUGGCACAGAGGAAUGAGGCUUUUCUCCCGCUAUGAAUGUCUCCCAAG
rnacentral:lncRNA from 1 species